CCUACGGGUGGCAGCAGUGAGGAAUAUUGGUCAAUGGGCGCGAGCCUGAUCCAGCCAAGUAGCGUGAGGGAUGACUGCCCUACGUGUUGUAAACUUCUUUUAUAAAGGAAUAAAGUGAGGCACGUGUGCCUUUUUGUAUGUCCUUUAUGAAUAAGGAUCGGCUAACUCCGUGCCAGCAGCCGCGGUAAUACGGAGGAUCCGAGCGUUAUCCGGAUUUAUUGGGUUUAAAGGGAGCGUAGAUGGGUUGUUAAGUCAGUUGUGAAAGUUUGCGGCUCAACCGUAAAAUUGCAAUUGAUACUGGAAGUCUUGAGUACAGGUGAGGUAGGCGGAAUUCGUGGUGUAGCGGUGAAAUGCGUAGAUAUCACGAAGAACUCCGAUUGCGAAGGCAGCUUACUAAACUGCCACUGACAUUGAUGCUCGAAAGUGUGGGUAUCAAACAGGAUUAGAUACCCCAGUAGUC
rnacentral:rRNA from 1 species